ACGGCGGAGGCGGGAACGGGGGCUGAGGGGCGGGCGGCGGCGUUGGCGCUCAACGGCUGUUGUCAGUCAUAACCGUUGAAAAACAGUCACGUUAGUGCCAGUUUAUUAAAUCUUGUACAACUGCAUUUUUCACUGAGAGAAAUAAAGCACAAGGGUGCAGGUCAGGACGUCAAUGCGACCUAUUCCUGUCAUGUACCAGGCAGCAUAUGCUGCAGAAACAUUCUGUGACAAAUAGAUUUUCCCAUCUCAGCACGUUUUCCAGAUGAGUUAACAAAGCGAUUUCCAAAAGCUCUUUCAAAAUGAUAAUUCAGUAAAAAACAUUCCCAUCUUAAUCAGGUUUAGGGGGCAAAUCCCCACAUUGGAAUACAAACGUUUGCGCCAUGAGCAAGGAGCAAUGUAAAUGGAAAUACAAAAGUUUGCUCUAUGGGCAAGGAGUGCUCUUUUUGUAGGGUGCAGAAGUGUGCAAAAAGAAGAAAAUCCAUUUCUCCACAUCCCCACGUGCCUCAGGUCAUGGUGUGUGAUGGGGAAGUGAGGCACAAAGACCUGAGGACCUGAGGCACGCGGAGGGCAACCUCACUGUUCCUUGCAGAGACUUCUUGUGUCCAUUGUACUGCACAGCUUGGCCUAUUUAACAUUGCAGACAGUCUACUGGUGCUGCCCCCCUGCCUAACGUAAAUAGCAUUAAAUACACAAAGCUAGACAGCUGAAAAAGCUGCAGGAACAUGGAUGGGAGCACUGGGGGAAGGCUGAGACGUCUUCUGUCCGACAUGACACCACAGCCGGGGCCAAUAGCCUGCAUCCCUCUUUCUGACACUGCCCAUGUCAUUCCUUUCCCUCCUGGCACUUCCACUCUCAGGAACAGAUUUGUGUUUCCUAAUCAGUUGGCUUGCCUGUGGCAGAGAAUUCUUAUUUGUAAGUAAUGUCAUACUGGAUUUGUGAUACAAGCUUUUGCAAUCCCUUUGUUGUGCAAAUGCAGGCAAAUAACUGAAGUAAGACAACUGGCUUCAGUAGGAUUAUCCAUAAAAGAGUUAAGUGCUAUGUCAUAUGCAUAAAUAUCGCCCUCAGGAGCAGAUUCUGCAAUCAAGGACAACUCGAGUUUUGAAGAAGGAAGAGCUUCAGCAGCACUAGUCACUAAAGAAAUGAAGGAGAAAACCAGUUUCCUGUUCAGUUCAAAUGUGAGAGGUUUAGCAACAGUAUUAGCAAUAUAGCAUACUCACAUUUACAUCUCAAAGUAUCUUUCCCAAAUUGGAGGAGGAUUGUGUCACAUGUUGCAGGUAGGAGAGCAGCUGCAGGAGGAAGGAAUUGAGGGUAACCAAGCAUCCAUCCUAUGGGAAAACAAAAAUAGCACUUCUGGCUUCCAGCUUCUAGCCAGCAUCUCUCAGGAGGAAGGCAGCAAUGUCAGCAGGGUCUCUGGCCAGCUUGUAAAAUUAAUUUCAAAAUCUCUUAAGUACAUUCUAAAAAAGGAACAUUGAAGAGGGAAGAUAAACUGCAUGCUAUAAUUGGUAUUGCAAACAACAUUUUUAACAAUCAAAGGGAGCAUAGAAGCAGUUCUAGAACUUGCCAGUGUUUUUUUUUUUCCCAGUGUCACUCACUGCAUUAAUUCCUGUUAUCAUGUGGAAGUAGAUUCAGCAAUUUCCAAGGAAUUCUUGCCUGUUGUAUAGUUUUGCUAGUAGGUGAAAAGCCACAAUUAGACAAGUAGCAGGCAUUUCAUGAACAUUCACUGCUUUAGGCAAUGCCACAUUGCUCAAACUUUUUAUAAUUUAGAUGGGAUCUUGCAUUUGGAGUCCCCUAGGUGGCAAUUUACUAUUGGUUUUGGGUAGAAAUGUGGAAAAAUGGUAAUUGCGAUACCUGCCUUCAGCAGGUAAGAAAUGAAGGAAGUUGCUAAUCACAGCACAGGACUGUAGAUCUGCAGUCAGUUCCAAACGGAUGAGAUCUCUGACACUUCUGAUGUCUUGAGGUGGCUGUGAUGAUGUAAGUAGAACACUCGUGAUGUGGAUGAAAGAGAAAUGCUGUGUUUGUUCUUCACAAACAGGGAAAAGGAAGGGAGACCCUUUCCUACCUGAAACAUACUCAAGCAGCUGAACAAAGCAAUGAGCCCUUCCCACAGUCUGAAAUAUUAAAUGUCAGCAGUUUCCUUUUUGCUACAUCUCACAGUUCCCAGUAAAUGCCAUAGGGACACAAUGGGAACAGUGCUCUUCCAGUUAAGUUGCAUACACUCCAACACCAUUCAACAAAAGGAUACUCAACGCCCAGAGACAGAAAACGUAUAAUCUAAUGACUCAAUCUUUGUGCACAGAAAAAAAAAAAAAACUGUUUUGCAGAAAUUACAUGAAAACUGGAAAGUGAUGAUUUGUUUGAAAGGAAUACAGGAGGAAGGGAAGGGAGUUGCUAUAUGAGCCUCACAUUCUGUAGGAGAUAAUGGUGGAAUUUUUAUUGAUCUGGAGAGUUUGCUUAAGUAAGUGAGUUACUGGAAAAAAAAAAAUGCAGCAUUAUUUAUGUCUUGAAAUCUGGAAUAAGAGCUUGAAUUCUGAAUUGCAGGGGGAGCACAUUUGUGUCAACUCACUCUGUGUGUAAGCAGUAAGAUACCCAAACAGGAAUCAUAUCCAUUUUUUUUUCACUGCCUGUCAUUUGAGAGAGAGAGAGUUAGCUGCUGUGAGUGAGAAGAAACCAGCAGGUGAGCUGACAGCAGCGUUCCUGAGUGCUGAGAGGAUGCCUGUUCAUGGCUGUGACAGCAUAGGCUUGAUCUGCAGACCCUGAACUUGAUUCCACUGAUAUUAUCGCCUGCUGUGAAGGUUUGUAGAAUGAAAGAUGUAACUCCAGCUGAAGAACUGCUGACCAUGUUGAUGUGUCUCACCACUCUGCUGCCAGAUGAAUCGAAGCCACAGGGAGGGGAGCCCCAGGUCAAUCAGAGGAGCUGCAGGACAAGAAUUUUAGCUUACAGUAAAGUUUCAGUGAUGGUCACGGAUCUGCACAGCCACAGGUGGAUGUGUAUGGCAUGUAGACCAGGAAUGGUCUUCAUUAAGCAUAAGGCUCUGCUUAGGUCUGAUAUACCCAGACUUGUAUUACUUUCUCCUAGCCCCCACAGUUUCCCAAGAAAUUCACACUGCAGACACAGGUAUAUCAUUAAGAGGCUUCUUGAAGUGGUAAGAAAAUGGCACUGCACUUAAACCUGUCAACUGCUGAGACUCUGCUUGAAUAGUAACAAUGGCUGUAUUGAGCCAUGAGAUUCACACCAAGCCUGUCAUAUCUUUCUUUGGAUGCUGACAUUCCAAUUGCGUGUCAAACACUGCCUUAACACACAGGCAUGUUGUGAAAUAUGCUGUCAAAUAAUGCAAAUUGCAGACACUGCGCCGUGGUAUUUUGCUAAUCAUGGAGAUUUCACACAGUCCUUUAUAAUUCCUCUCCCAUUUUUUAUUUGAAAAGAAGUUAGGAUUUGGUCAUCGUGGACUGACCUUUAAAGGGGCUCUUGAAGGAUCUGGCAAUUUCAUAGGGGUGAUGUGAAUGGAACUCUCUGACCUCCUGCAGUGUUCCAGACCAGUUAAAUCCCAUUCCAGCAGCUCAUCACAGAGCUGCUGGCCCUACCAGGCAAGGCUGAGCACAGUCUGUGGGCAGUGCAACAUGCACAGUGGAUGCUCUGAAACCCAGACAACGAGAAAAGUCCUUGCGGUAAGAUGUUGACAUCUUGUAUUAUAGUGAGUAAUGUACUGGGAUGCGUGCCAGCCGCCGAGACCUUCAUGGGAUGGCUGCAGCAUAAGCAAUUUCAGUGCCAGUUAAUUGCACUUGAAAACACUGUGGUGGUUGUGGUAUCUAAACACAAAAUAGGCAGAGAUGUGGAGGAAUGCCUCAGGAUGUGGUGACUUUGGUGUGAAGGAAUCAAUGAAGGACUUUAAAGUUUACUCUUGUUUUCUCUGAAGAUAUUUCUCUUCCAUCUUAUGCUGGCACUAAUUCAACAGAUAUUGGUUUCUGUUAUUGUUUUUUAAUAUUAAAACCCAGAGAUUCUGUUGUCAUAGGACUGCUGGGAUGCAGUUCUCAGCCUCUAACAUAUAGAGUGGUUCUGGCUGACCUGCAGCAGUUUAUUACUUCACCACCUUUGCAUCCACCUUAAUGCUUAUGUACUGCAGAAAUGGCACACUUUGUCAUGCCUGUACUUACCCUCUUCUUAAACACCAUUACCCCAGAGAUGAGGACUCCAGUGCCAACUUAGUGUAAAGAAAGGAAGGGGAGAGCACUGGGAUCAGAGUGCUGCCUGUCUCACUUUAUGUCCUGCUAGGUAGCCCUUUACCAGUGUCUAAUUUUCCUGUCCUCCGUAAAAAGCUGUAACUUUUUAGGGUGCUUUGGGAUCUGCAGAAGAAAAGCUUUAUAGCUCUGUUAAUGCAAAUAAUUCUUCCUUAUGUUUCCAGCAGAUGUCAUCAGGCUUGUCCAGAAUCUCCUCCAGAAUAUCUACAGAAUCCUUCAUGCUAGCACCAGUGGCAGCUGAGAACAGUAAAAAGAAGUUUUGCUCAAAGAUUCUGGGGGCUAAGAACUGGAGAAGACUCAAGGAUGUGGUCCUGCUGCCAUUGUGCUGUCCUGCUUCCACGAGGGAGUUCUGACAACAGAUCUCACUCUCCUGCCUGCCAAAACUGCUUUUUGAUGGCUGCUACCGUAACAUGCUGCUGUGGAUCGGCCUGGCCCUGGGUGCCCCUCUGACAGCGCUGCCGUACUUCCAUGGCUCAUACAUCAUCUGCUGCUCGAAGGACUCCGUGCGGAGACUGCUUGUUCUCUGCCCUGCCCAGAACCCAGCUGCCACCUAUCUUCCUCCCACACAACAUACAGUGUGCAAUACAACCCCAAGUUUGAAAUAACCUUGUCUUUUGUAUGGAAGAAUCUACCAAGGAUGCAAAAUUCCAUCUGGAUACAGAGCAAAGAAUAAGGAAUUGCAGGUUCCACUGAAGUCCACGGGAUCUGAGAGCAGUGGGGCUGCUGUGACACAACCUUGCUUUUUCUCCCAAAGGGUGACCCUGGAAACCCUGUAAUGUGCUAGACUAAAGGAACUGAGAAAUGGGUCCUGAAGGCCAUUCUCAGUGAUGGUGGCAUGAGGUACUACAGGCCAUUCCCAUAUGCCCCCAGUCUCCCACUGCAGCAGAGGAUCUUGGCCACAGCUGAGAUGGCAGGAGCAGAUGUGCUCCCCACCUCCUCAGGCAACAAGCUGAGCGGCAGCCUCCACUUACAAUGGGAAGAGAUCUCUACACAGGCAGCAAUGGUAUUUCAGGAAGGUGAUUUCAACUCCAAGCAUGAAAAGCAAAUCCCCAAACUCAUCUAAGUAUGGGCCACUUGAGAUUUAUGUCUCCUGCAGUGAGGAGAUGCUUCCCAUCUCCAAGAGCAAUUUGCACUUGGAAGCUGUGCUGGGACUGACCAUAGAGAUGGCCUCAAAACUGGUGGUUACUUCAUCAUUUCAUGCACAAGAGGUUUCACCCCCCUACACCACAUAGAGUGCUAC